CCUGCCCCUAGAAGCAUUGUAGAUAUGGCCACUGUGUCACAUGUGCAUCAGGAGGUGGCAGAGAGGAAAAAGGCUAUGUCUACGCUCAGUGUCCUGACUUAUGAACAUCUGAAUGAUUAGUACCCUAACACU